GAUGAACGCUGGCGGCGUGCCUAAUACAUGCAAGUCGAGCGAACGGACGAGAAGCUUGCUUCUCUGAUGUUAGCGGCGGACGGGUGAGUAACACGUGGAUAACCUACCUAUAAGACUGGGAUAACUUCGGGAAACCGUAGCUAAUACCGGAUAAUAUUUUGAACCGCAUGGUUCAAAAGUGAAAGACGGUCUUGCUGUCACUUAUAGAUGGAUCCGCGCUGCAUUAGCCAGUUGGUAAGGUAACGGCUUGCCAAGGCAACGAUGCAUAGCCGACCUGAGAGGGUGAUCGGCCACACUGGAACUGAGACACGGUCCAGACUCCUACGGGAGGCAGCAGUAGGGAAUCUUCCGCAAUGGGCGAAAGCCUGACGGAGCAACGCCGCGUGAGUGAUGAAGGUCUUCGGAUCGUAAAACUCUGUUAUUAGGGAAGAACAUAUGUGUAAGUAACUGUGCACAUCUUGACGGUACCUAAUCAGAAAGCCACGGCUAACUACGUG
rnacentral:rRNA from 1 species